CAGUAGCCGCGGUAAUACAGAGGGUGCGAGCGUUAAUCGGAUUUACUGGGCGUAAAGCGUGCGUAGGCGGCUUCUUAAGUCGGAUGUGAAAUCCCUGAGCUUAACUUAGGAAUUGCAUUCGAUACUGGGAAGCUAGAGUAUGGGAGAGGAUGGUAGAAUUCCAGGUGUAGCGGUGAAAUGCGUAGAGAUCUGGAGGAAUACCGAUGGCGAAGGCAGCCAUCUGGCCUAAUACUGACGCUCAUGCACGAAAGCGUUGGGAGCAAACAGGAUUAGAUACCCCUGUAGUCCCUGUCUCUUAUAC
rnacentral:rRNA from 1 species